GCAAUUAACACCGGAGACAGCUGGACUUGUUUGCUCCGGGGCAGAAGAAGCCGAAACACAAUUUUUUCUUUUUUCCUUAAAAAAAGUGGAGUUGGCUGUUCCUUGCCAUAGUGGAUGUUGGGGGAUUUGUGCAGAUCGAGGAGGAUCAGAGUGUUCGAGCUGCAACUUAUUCCUCUGUCGUGUCCCCUGCCCCCCGGUCUCCCUUGUGUCUGCAGGCAGCCAUCCGAGGUGGUGGGAGGAGCUGUCCCAACUGAAGCGGCUCCCAAGGGCACUGGCCGGGGGG